rnacentral:rRNA from 1 species
GACGAACGCUGGCGGCGUGCUUAACACAUGCAAGUCGAACGGUAAGGCCCUUCGGGGUACACGAGUGGCGAACGGGUGAGUAACACGUGGGUGAUCUGCCCUGCACUUCGGGAUAAGCCUGGGAAACUGGGUCUAAUACCGGAUAGGACCCUGGGAUGCAUGUCCUGGGGUGGAAAGCUUUUGCGGUGUGGGAUGGGCCCGCGGCCUAUCAGCUUGUUGGUGGGGUGAUGGCCUACCAAGGCGACGACGGGUAGCCGGCCUGAGAGGGUGACCGGCCGAACUGGGACUGAGAGACGGCCCAGACUCCUACGGGAGGCAGCAGUGGGGAAUAUUGCACAAUGGGCGCAAGCCUGAUGCAGCGACGCCGCGUGAGGGAUGACGGCCUUCGGGUUGUAAACCUCUUUCAGCACCGACGAAGCGCAAGUGACGGUAGGUGCAGAAGAAGGACCGGCCAACUACGUGCCAGCAGCCGCCGUAA